rnacentral:rRNA from 1 species
AUUGAACGCUGGCGGCAGGCCUAACACAUGCAAGUCGAGCGGAGCGGGGGACGGGUGAGUAAUGCCUAGGGAUCUGCCUGGCAGCGGGGGAUAACGUCCGGAAACGGGCGCUAAUACUGCCUACUAUCAGAUGAGGCGAGGUUGGCUUAGCUAGUUGGUGGGGUAAAGGCCUACCAAGGCGACGAUCCGUAACUGGUCUGAGGGGAUGAUCAGUAACACUUGAGCUGGGACACGGUCCAGACUCCUACGUGAGGCAGCAGUCGGGAAUAUUGGGCAAUGGGCGAAAAGCUGGUCCAGCCAUUGCGCGUGUGUGAAGAAGGUCUUCGGAUUGUAAAGCACUUUAAGUUGGGAGGCGUUACCAACUGAAUAAGCACCGGCUAACUACGUGCCAGCAGCCGCGGUAAUUC